ACUCCUACGGGAGGCAGCAGUGGGGAAUCUUAGACAAUGGGCGCAAGCCUGAUCUAGCCAUGCCGCGUGAGUGAUGAAGGCCCUAGGGUCGUAAAGCUCUUUCGCCUGUGAUGAUAAUGACAGUAGCAGGUAAAGAAACCCCGGCUAACUCCGUGCCAGCAGCCGCGGUAAUACGGAGGGGUUAGCGUUGUUCGGAAUUACUGGGCGUAAAGCGCACGUAGGCGGAUCAGAAAGUUGGGGGUGAAAUCCCGGGGCUCAACCCCGGAACUGCCUCCAAAACUCCUGGUCUUGAGUUCGAGAGAGGUGAGUGGAAUUCCGAGUGUAGAGGUGAAAUUCGAUAGAUAUUCGGAGGAACACCAGUGGCGAAGGCGGCUCACUGGCUCGAUACUGACGCUGAGGUGCGAAAGUGUGGGGAGCAAACAGGAUUAGAUACCCUGGUAGGUGA
rnacentral:rRNA from 1 species